rnacentral:rRNA from 1 species
GUGUGCCUACGGGGCGCAGCAGUGAGGAAUAUUGGUCAAUGGCCGGAAGGCUGAACCAGCCAAGUCGCGUGAGGGACGACUGCCCUAUGGGUUGUAAACCUCUUUUAUAAGGGAAGAAUAAAUGCUACGUGUAGCAUGAUGCCUGUACCUUAUGGGUAAGCAUCGGCUAACUCCGUGCCAGCAGCCGCGGUAAUACGGAGGAUGCGAGCGUUAUCCGGAUUUAUUGGGUUUAAAGGGUGCGUAGGCGGUUUUUUAAGUUAGUGGUUAAACGUCGGGGCUUCACCUUGGUUUGCCAUUAAUACUGU